rnacentral:lncRNA from 1 species
AUCAAGUAUCUGCCGACAGCCCAGCGUUAUAUAAAACCUGCAAACUGGAUAAAGAUCAUCAGCAGUAGGCAAACUGUGCAAGGAUAAAAUGUUUCCAAUUAUAAUUUUAGUGGCAUCUUCUUUAGCGUUGACAGCGGCCGUUCAGUUCACGGACUGUACCACUGACAAGAGUAAUGCAAUUGUGACAGUGCAACAACUGGACUUUUCUCCGUCUCCACUUAUAUUUCCGGGAGAUGUGCACUUUACAUUGAAUUUAACAGCUUAUCAGCCGAUUAAUUAUCUGUUCGUGGACGUUGUACUAGAGAAAAAAUUACUCGGAAUAUGGACAAAAGUUCCGUGCAUUCGAAAGCAUAGGCACAUGUACCAAUAUUGAUUUCUGUCCGAUUCUGCCCAAUAUUCUAAAUGGAUCUUCGUUAAUAUCAAAGGAGUUGGGACAGCAAAUUGAUACAAUGCUGGAAUCAGCACUUGGACACAAACUACGUUGUCCCAUCCCGCCUGAGACUCUAGAUAUAAAGGAUUAUACUCUUAGCCUUCAGGCAGUUUCGAGUACCCUUUCCUGGUUUAGUCAUGGCGACUAUAGGAUCCAGAUAUCAGUGAAAGACGAUUCUACAACCACAGACAACCUUGGUUGUAUAAGGUUCCUGGCGAAGGUAGGAGUUCCAACACCAGGGGUCGGCUGAACCGUAUUCUUUGCAACAAAGAGUGACACCGCAUACAAUAAAAGUCCAGUUAUCAGACAAUUUGUUUAGUCAAGUCCAAAAUAUAUUAUCUCAACUUGUACGCUUUUUCAGGAACCAAUUCUCCGUUGCAUUUUAAAAUGGUUAUGAUACAAAACACAUUUUGUAAUAUAUUUUUAUACACGGCGAUUGAAAGAGCUCAAUAAGACACCGUGACAUAACCUACGACGACAUGGUACUGUGUUGCAGAACAAUAAUUUCCUUUAAAAUAGAUUGUUUAUAAUUUCACGAGUUCAUUACCAGAUAAAAAAGUUUAAUUAAAUGGUUUAAAAUGUG